rnacentral:miRNA from 1 species
CAGGAACUGGUGUAUAUACAUACAUAUAUAUGUAUGUGGUGUGUGUGUAUGUGUCUGUGUGUGUAUAUAUACACACACACAUAUAUAUCUCAUGUAU